GGCAGCACGGACUUCGGUCUGGUGGCGAGUGGCGAACGGGUGAGUAAUGUAUCGGAACGUGCCUAGUAGCGGGGGAUAACUACGCGAAAGCGUAGCUAAUACCGCAUACGCCCUACGGGGGAAAGCAGGGGAUCGCAAGACCUUGCACUAUUAGAGCGGCCGAUAUCGGAUUAGCUAGUUGGUGGGGUAACGGCUCACCAAGGCGACGAUCCGUAGCUGGUUUGAGAGGACGACCAGCCACACUGGGACUGAGACACGGCCCAGACUCCUACGGGAGGCAGCAGUGGGGAAUUUUGGACAAUGGGGGAAACCCUGAUCCAGCCAUCCCGCGUGUGCGAUGAAGGCCUUCGGGUUGUAAAGCACUUUUGGCAGGAAAGAAACGUCAUGGGCUAAUACCCCGUGAAACUGACGGUACCUGCAGAAUAAGCACCGGCUAACUACGUGCCAGCAGCCGCGGKRAUACGUAGGGUGCAAGCGUUAAUCGGAAUUACUGGGCGUAAAGCGUGCGCAGGCGGUUCGGAAAGAAAGAUGUGAAAUCCCAGAGCUUAACUUUGGAACUGCAUUUUUAACUACCGAGCUAGAGUGUGUCAGAGGGAGGUGGAAUUCCGCGUGUAGCAGUGAAAUGCGUAGAUAUGCGGAGGAACACCGAUGGCGAAGGCAGCCUCCUGGGAUA
rnacentral:rRNA from 1 species